GUGUUUUACCUGCGCAGGGCGGUGCCGUCCCUCCUGUGAGUCCCUACUCGCCUCAGCGGAGCCGCCGGCUCCUGGGCAAGGCCCGGCCAGGGCUGGAGGCUCCCUCGGUGGUUCGUGCCGCUCGGAGCUGAGGCUCCGGGGAGCGGUGUCUCCCCUCGCUCCGGUGUUGAAGGCUCCUCUCUGGAGAUACCUCGGCAAAUGACUCUAUAAAAAAUUCCCUGCGUAGAAAGAAUCUUAACACCAAUGGUGGUUGCACUGGCACCAAUCUGAGCACAAACUGCUGCUGCACAGGGUAGUAAGUAAUCUGACUGAUAUAAAGACCACCUUGGAACCAGCCUGCAGGGCUACACUGGUAACAGGGAUUAUUUUGUCAGUCAUUGAAAAUGAAGGCUUUUAAUGCUCCAAUUUACACUGCAAUACAAAAACUCAAAUGCUGUGAAUACAAA